AUACGUAGGGGGCGAGCGUUGUCCGGAAUGAUUGGGCGUAAAGGGCGCGUAGGCGGCCCGGUAAGUCUGGAGUGAAAGUCCUGUUUUUAAGAUGGGAAUUGCUUUGGAUACUGUCGGGCUUGAGUGCCGGAGAGGGAAGUGGAAUUCCCAGUGUAGCGGGGAAAGGCGUAGAGAUUGGGAGGAACACCAGUGGCGAAGGCGACUUACUGGACUGUAACUGACGCUGAGGCGCGAAAGUGUGGGGAGCAAACAGGAUUAGAUACCCUGGUAGUCCACACUGUAAACGAUGAAUGCUAGGUGUAGGGGGUAUCGACCCCUUCUGUGCCGCAGUCAACACAAUAAGCAUUCCGCCUGGGGAGUACGGCCGCAAGGUUGAAACUCAAAGGAAUUGGCGGGG
rnacentral:rRNA from 1 species